GAUGAACGCUGGCGGCGUGCCUAAUACAUGCAAGUCGAGCGAACAGACGAGGAGCUCGCUCCCCUGACGUUAGCGGCGGACGGGCGAGUAACACGUGGAUAACCUACCUCUAUGACGGGGAUAAUUUCGGGAAACCGCUGCUAAUACUAGAUAACACGAUCAACCGCAUGGAUCAACAGUGCAAGAGGGUCUUGCUGUCUCUUAUAGACGGAUCCGCGCCGCAUUAGCUAGUUGGUAAGGUAACGGCCUACCAAGGCAACGAUGCGUAGCCGACCUGAGAGGGUGAUCGGCCACACUGGAACUGAGACACGGUCCAGACUCCUACGGGAGGCAGCAGUAGGGAAUAUUCGACAAUGGGCGAAAGCCUGACGGAGCAACGCCGCGUGAGUGAAGAAGGUCUUCGGAUCGUAAAGCUCUGUUAUUAGGGAAGAACAACUGUGUAUGUAACUAUGCACGUCUUGACGGUACCUAAUCAGAAAGCAACGGCUAACUACGUG
rnacentral:rRNA from 1 species